rnacentral:rRNA from 1 species
AAACCAGCACCUCAAGUGGUCAGGAUGAUUAUUGGGCCUAAAGCAUCCGUAGCCGGCUCUGUAAGUUUUCGGUUAAAUCUGUACGCUUAACGUACAGGCUGCCGGAAAUACUGCAGAGCUAGGGAGUGGGAGAGGUAGACGGUACUCGGGAGGAAGGGGUAAAAUCCUUUGAUCUCUCGAUGACCACCUGUGGCGAAGGCGGUCUACCAGAACACGUCCGACGGUGAGGGAUGAAAGCUGGGGGAGCAAACCGGAUUAGAAACCCGGGUAGUCC